rnacentral:rRNA from 1 species
AGAGAGAGACAUGCGCGCAUAUCAAUAAGCGGAGGAAAAGAAACUAACUAGGAUUCCCUCAGUAACGGCGAGUGAAGCGGGAAGAGCUCAAAUUUGAAAUCUUCAAGGUUCUACCUUGACGAAUUGUAGUUUAAAGAAGUGUUUUCUGUUGGAGUUUUGGUAAAAGUUCUUUGGAAUAGGACAUCAUAGAGGGUGAGAAUCCCGUAUUUGACCAUUAUUUCCAGCUUUGUGAUACACUUUCAAAGAGUCGGAUUGUUUGGGAAUGCAGUCCAAAAUGGGUGGUAAAUUUCAUCUAAAGCUAAAUAUUGGCGAGAGACCGAUAGCGAACAAGUACCGUGAGGGAAAGAUGAAAAGAACUUUGAAAAGAGAGUUAAACAGUACGUGAAAUUGUCAAAAGGGAAGCGUUUGACACCAGUGUUGUUUUCUCGAAAAUCAAUUAAAAAAGGCAGGAUUUUGUGUUGUAUUGACUUUAUCAGCUUUCUGCACUCUUUUCUUGUCUUUUUUUAAUGCACUUUUCGUUUAACAAGUCAACAUCAAUUUCUUUUGUUGUAAAAGGGUCAUUGGAAGGUGGCUUUCUUUUCGGAGAAAGUGUUUAUAGCCUUUGGCCUCUGCAAUCGGAGAGAUUGAGGUCUGCAGCGUAGAUCCUUCGGGGUUAGAUACAUUUGUGCUAAGUUAUAGCCUUUCAUAGACAACUUGUUGACUAUGAUCAGUCAUGUAGCUUACUCGCUUAUGCUAUUUUACCUACGCUUAGGAUGUUGAUGUGAUACUGCGAGC